ensembl:lncRNA
GGGAUCCGGAGAGUGGCUUAAGGUCGUGCAGUGCCACGAAUCGCACAGGUUCCCUAGCAGGCGGCUCCGUGCACUCAUUCAUGAAGGAGCGCACACGCGUGCAUUAACACGCGCCCAGAGCGCACACACAACGAUGCCCCCAAGCGAAUCCGCAAAUCACCAACUCAGACGCUCGGGCUUGCACCCAGUGCGCGCCCCACUCACUCUCCCUAGGGUCCCCCGGGAGCUGCCACUCCCAGAUCUGAACAUAGCAAAGUCUCCUCAGAGCCCCCUCCCCCAACGCUUGACUCUGAAAUCCGCUUAGUUGGCCCCGCGGCCCCGUGUCCCCUUUUACAAGCGCAGGUUCUGAUUUCCUGAGAGAUGGCAAAGUCCCGGGCAGGAAGUUUACAAGGCUCAACGUAAACACGUUCCGGGGGAUCCUUUAAUAAUAAGAGUAGAGAAGCCCGCGGGCGCGGGGGGAGUUGGCCUGAUGCCCCUAUGGGCUCGGCCUGCCGCCGCCGCGGGGCCUCCGAUGCUGCGCGCCAGGCCGGGUUCCGGAAAGCGGGUGGCGCAGGCGGGGAGCGCGGUAGGGAGCGGCCCUGGCUGCGGGGUCGCGGCCGUGGAGAGGUGGUGCGGGGCGCAGGACCGCUGAAGAUCCCAGCUGGACUCUGCGCGCCCGAAACCAGGCCUGUGACCUGAUCCACAGCUUUUGACCCUAUGAAGCAGACCUCAGGUCCCAUCAGAAAACAGUUGCUUUCUGAAACCGCCAUGCCUCUCUUUUUUUUUUUUUUUUUUGUUCUUUUUUUCGGAGCUGGGGACCGAACCCAGGGCCUUGCGCUUCCUACCUACUACCUUGAGAUCCUCUACACAGCUCCCCUGCAGCCAGAGAACCAGCUGCACAUUCAGCGGCCGUGUGACAGAUGAAAAUGUCCUACUCCCACACCGUGGCCUGUCCUGGUGUCAGCCUCUUCGUGCUCAGAAAGAAUGAGGCACCUACAACUGCUGGCCCAGGGUGGGAUUUGAACAGCUCCAGUUAUGUAACAUGUCUAUCACUGAGAUGUGUACUGAGCAUCAACUUGAUGGGACUCAGACUCACUAAGGAAACAAGCCCCUGUCUGGAAACUUCUAGAUCGUGUUCACUAAAGUGGGAGGAGCCACCCUGUGUGUUGGCAGUACCAUCUCGUCAUGGUCUGGGGUCCUGGACCUAAUGAAACGGAGCAAGCAGGCUGAGGACCAGCAGUCACCACUCUCUGCUUCCUGACUGUGGAUGCCAUGGGACCAGCUGUCUCAUGUUCCUGCCGCCAUGCCUCCCCGCCAUGAUGGACUGUAUCCCCUCACACUGUGAGCCAAUGUGAACCCUUCCUUCUUUAAGGUGUUUUAGUCAGGUGUGUUAUAGCAGUGAGAUAACAACAAAUACACUGCAGACACGCACGUGUACAGUGUGCAGGGCUGGUGUGGACUACACACUCCCCACUUGUCUAGCUAAGCUCUCGGCAUCUCCUUCAGCCCCUUUUCUAGAAUGAUCCGCUUCUAUUCCUCUGCACCCUCCUUUGGCUCAUAAAAUAAAGUGCAGAUUCCAUCACUGGACAUAAUUAUCACCCAUCCCAAGUUGGUACAUCUGUAUCCUGUCACAACUGGACUCUGCCCUUACCCCUAGAUCAUGGAGCUCCAUUUCUGCCCAUUUGGAAGCAGCUUGCUCCCUCCUUUGCAGCCCGGAUGGGCGUAUGUAGCUCUUCGAGCACAGCUGGGGAGAAGCGAGAACUGGAAAGCACCAUACGCAAGUCUGAACACCAGUGUCAGGGUCCAUGCUGCAGAUUCGAAAAGGUCUGAGGCAAAGGGAAACACCUCUGGGAGCCUGAGUCAAGCACUGCACAGGGUGGGCGAGCCUGUGUGAGCAGAGCCUGGUGCUUUGGGUCUUUCUAGCACGGGGCUCUGUCCUGUGCAGCCCUGGCUUCCCUUCACAGCAAGCGGAGGGUAAGAAGAGCAGCGAGUUUCUGGCAGAGGAAAAAACAUGGAACGCCCAACCACAGAAUUCCCAAAAACAUUGCUAAGCAUUAAUUUCGCUAACAUGUUAGAUGGCACGCAGGUCUCCGCAGGCUCAUUCCUGGGCUAGACACAGUUCCCAAAAGCCAUCUGAUUCCACAUCCCCCCUGGCCAUGUGUGGAUAAUGAGCAAAGCCAUCUGGGCUGGCCCUGGCCUUCCAGCCACUGGGGCCAGGCCUUCCCCAGCUCUGGCCCAGGCCUGCCCAUGGGAUACCUUAGGCACCCUCCUCCGCCUGUCUUCCUGCCCUUGGUAAAGACCAGGGCAAAUAUGCUCAGAGGGGUUCUCGAGCCCCAGUCCCACAGGCCCAAAGUGGCUCUGCCUCCCAACCAUGCAGUGUCUCAUGGGGGACAGACUAAAGGAAGAGGCUGCUGGAGUAAUGUCUCUUAGGUCUUGACUCACAAACAUCAUUUCCAUGGUUUUCUUUG